UUACGGCCGUAUCACGUUGAAACACCGGUUCUCGUACGAUCAACAAAGUUAAGCAACGUCGAGCCGGGUCAGCACUCAAGUGAUUGACCGCUUGCGAAUACCAGGUGCUGUAAG